CGGAAAAUGUGUUGGAAACCAAAUUUAUUUUGUUUGAGAAAAUAAAGAAAAACAAACGGUUUUAGCGAGCGAGCUGUAUAUUUAGUAAUGCAGCUAAGAAGACGCCAGAUGAACGCCCAGCAAAUAAGUUUACAAAAAGACGCAGAUGAAUUAGUAAAUUUAUAAAGUCAAUGCCAGCUCGUAUAAAGCGUUCAUUGCUAAUAUUAAGCCGUUGUUUGCGAUAACUUGUUUAAAGAAGAGUAACAAAAGUCGAGCAGCUUUGGGCAGAUGCUUUCCAAGAAAUAAAGUAAAUAAAGGUAAGAUUUAUCUUAUGAUAAAAUCAGAUUAUGAAAGAUAUUGUUAGCGGGGGUUAACAUGCGUCAUUAUUCCGUGCAAAUCAGAAUUUCACGUCGAUCGCCCUGCUUCUAUACGUAGCUUUAAAUACGCCUCGUUUGUGAUAGAAUCUCCAAGAUCCAUAUAGCUUACAGCAGUAUCCAACGUUUUGAGAAAAAUCAAGAUGAAAUAGCUAACGUGAACCUGAGUUCAAAAUAUGACCUUUAUUUUAUAAUUACUCCCUAUUUAGUUACUUUCUGUUGUUGCCAAAUCGUUAUCCUUCAUAGUUUCCUCUUGUAAUAAAAUACAAACACGUCAAUGAUUUUCUUCAUAUAUUAAGGUGUUCGGAACCUCGAAUAUUUCGGGCAGAGGCCUUUUUAUACUCCUUUCGUAUACAAGAGUAGUUAAGUUGAUUAUAACUUGAUAUGAGGGUUUGUCUUGAUAGCAAAGAUAAUCGAUUUACAUUGUGUUAAGAGCCGGACGUGGAACACAAACUGAUCAAAGAUCUUUUUCAAUGGCGUUAAUUAAGACAAAAUUAAUCAUAAAGAAUGAUAUAAAUCUAAAAUAUAUUGGAAAUUUUGUCUGAAAACAGAAUAUGAAUGCCAUUUCCCAACAGUUCAUCAACGUAAACUUACUUUGCCACUUCAACGGCGUCUAUCACUUGAUUAUUUAUUGACUUACACUUAGGAACUGUUUACAUGAUCCAGCUUUGGUGAAAUGAGAGCCAGAUCAUUUUGAAAUAUUAGUAACGAUUGAAUAACAUCUUGAAUGAAUUCCUCAUGAGUCCCUAUUUUUUUAAAGAUAGCUUCGCCAGGCAAUUGUGUUAUUAAUCUAAUGUAUAUGUUUAGACUAGUAUUGAUCUAUAACGUGUAUAAGACCUACGCAAAAAACAGAUUGUAGUUCUGUAUAUUACUUUAAAAAUUUGGAACCACGCUGGUAUGAGAUAUAUUUAUCACAUUUGAAAUGAUUCCUAAUUGAUUUCAAGAUGAACAACUCAGCAAGUUAUCGGCUUUGCUAAAUCGUAAACUAUAAGUUCUAUACAUAUAACAUACUUUGUUUUAAGUUUAUAUUAUGCUUUAUCUUUAAUCUUCUUCAUCUGUGAAGAAUUAAGGUAAUUUGAACGUAAGCUUCCCUAGGAUAGUCUAGACUACUGUCGUCAAAUCUGUGCAGGUUAAACCUUAAACGAGUUUUAAAGGCUGCGAAUCAAUGCUGUUCUCUCAACGUUACACGAGGUCAAACAGUUCCGGAGAUUACGGUCUUGAGAGGAACAGCUAACUAAAUUGUUUUGUCGAAUAUUUGAAAUAGUAAACGUUCCACGCUCGUGAUCUUGUGUUUUCGUUUUAACUGCAUGUCUUUGAUAUACUGCAUGCCUUGGGAUAAGAAUAUCGGAAAGGAGUUGUCUGAGUAGUGAAUGAUCCGAGUAAGUUGGUCAAAUGAUCCAUUUUCACUCAAUGUUACAUUUCAGAGAGAGAGGGUUCUGGUAUUCCUUGAUGAAUGAGUAGGAACCGUCAAACAUAUAGCAGUGUUCUAAGACUACGAUCUGAUGAGCCCCACAUUUUAAAGAACAAGCCAUUUUUGUCUCGAAAAGGCAAACAGACGCGCGUUAGACGAAUAACGUUAAGCCACGUCAAAGUACAGAUGUAAGGCAGUAAGCAGUUGGCAAAUUAUGCUAAUUAUGUAAUUUACAAUCGUUGGGGAUGCGAUUUUAUUAGUAAGGUUAAAAUAUUUUGCAGUAAAAUAUCUAAGAAAUCACAACCAUGAUUUUGUUACGAAGCAAAAUUGAGCUAACAAGCAACGUAUUAUAAAACUUAUCAACACGAAAAAUAAUUUUAUGAUCGAUUUUAUGAAAAUUGAAUCCGGAUAUUUGGCAGUUUAAGUAUUUAAAACAAAUGUUUUCUCAGAGCUGUACUUUCAUGUUCAAUGCAUGCAUGGAUAGAUGUAAAAAGAUAUUGAAGAAUGAUAAAUCGUUAUAUUUGUGCGUUGGAAAUAGAUGACGUGUAAAAAUAGCAAGGCUUUGUACUAAUUAGCAAGCGUCGUAAUUGAAGGCGUUACGUUAUUAAUGCGUUAUAGCUAAUUUCCUCGCAUUAUUACUUAGGCUAAUUAUUAUGCGUGAUUUUAAAGUAAAUACAGUAUAAAUCCUGGCCAGCACCUGCCCUCGACAAUGUAUAAAGACGAGUAAUGCUGCACACUUGUUCUUUUAACGAAGCCUUCACAGGACUAUGACCAGAUAGAACUCAAAUGCAAAAAGAAAUAUCUGAAAAGAACAGAUUGAGCAGAAAAGGAACCCAAAAUCUAACUGUGUGGAAUUAAGAAAGAAUAGAAAUAUAUCAGUACAAAACUGUAAGUAAAAGUAAAGUAACAUUUCUCGUUUUAGAGAGAAUGUGCUCGUAUCCAACUUUUCUUUCAAAAGAGAAGGAAACAACUAAUUUCUGUUUCACAAAUUUCCUUGUUUGCUAGUGUCUACAGUAACUCGUUUUCUUUGCGCGUAUAUUAAUGAGGUCCAAGACGAAUUUUCAAAUCAAACCUAUAGCUUUUUGUCACUUUUUGUUUUGAAAUGUUUGCACACACAAAUGCAUUACUGGUGAAAAUAUUACAAACAGUCAUUGCUCAUCUUACUAAAAAUUUAAAACCUUCAAGAUUUCAUGUUAAUUAAGUCUGUAGUUAUUGAUUCAAAUAAACCUCGAGAUUUUUUCUUUCGUUUCUUCAGUAUUAUAUAUAUCUUAAAUGUCCGUACAUUGAACCUCAACACUUGUCAAGCAGGAAUAUUCGUGAUUAUAUUUAAGACCAGAUUAUCUUUGGUGAAAUAUUUAAUUAUGAAUUAAAAGUAGCUAGUUGAGCGUAGAUUUUUCAACAGUGGUUUUGCCUGCUGAGAGAAGAUUAAUGAUGGGUUGACAACGGACAUGCACACGUGAUUGUGUUGUGGUAACAUGCACAUGUAACUUUAAUCCCAACGGCAUGAGGUUGUUAUAUUUAACAAUUUCUUUAGUGUUUGGGUUAUUUGCGUCUUACAGUAGCUAUCUCACUGUUUUACAUAAUAUGGGGGCGGCGCGCUUGACGCGUAGGCUGUGAACGACACAAAAGAACAUAGUCUGAAAUUUGGCAGCUGCCUCAAAAUACAGUUUCAUUGCCAAAAUGUUAUUGAUUAGAUCUAUUUAUGAUAUUGCUAACUUACUGCGGGCUAUUCUAGUUGACCAUUAUAUAUGAAAACAUGAUAAAUAUAAUUACAACACGUCAAAAACUGUACCAUUAACGAUAGUUUUGGAGUCAGCUAGCCAACCUGCAGAGUCGUGUCCAGACCUCCUAAUUUCGCGCCACCCCGUUUGAUUUUGUAAAAGAGGAAUAUCUGCCAACGAAGAAUAUCUUCAAAUCUUGUUUAACGGAACUGUCUCUGUGUGUCAUUAAAUCAGACAACCGCAGCCUUAGGAAAUAAUUAUAUUAAUGAUUCAAAACGUUGUUGAAAAGUUUUUAUGUUGUACAUGUUUUAAACGUGAAGUUCAAUGCAGUUAUAUACUCUGAAACGUUGUAAUUAACAAAAUAUGUUUGACCUAAAUUAAACCUGCAAACAAUAGGCAGUAAUACCGGCGCAGGGGGGAUCACAUGUAGGAAGUUGAGAAUCCCAACAAGAAAUAUAAUCAGGAAAGUUCUUUACAUUUAUUAGUCUUAACCAGGAGCAGUUUGGAAAAAUACAACUAUAGUGCCUCUGCCAGGAAUCAAACCUGCAGCUCUGCGAUUCCGGUGCAGCGCUCUAACCAACUGAACUACAGAGAGACAGUUGUCGAGCUCUAACCAACUGAACUACAGAGAGACAGUUGUCAAGCUCUAACCAACUGAACUACAGAGAAACAGUUGUCAAGCUCUAACCAACUGAACUACAGAGAGAGAGUUGUCUAGCUCUAACCAACUGAACUACAGAGAGAGAGUUGUCGAGCUCUAACCAACUGAACUACAGAGAGACAGUUGUCGAGCUCUAACCAACUGAACUACAGAGAGAGAGUUGUCGAGCUCUAACCAACUGAACUACAGAGAGAGAGUUGUCGAGCUCUAACCAACUGAACUACAGAGAGACAGUUGUCGAGCUCUAACCAACUGAACUACAGAGAGAGAGUUGUCGAGCUCUAACCAACUGAGCUACAGAGAGACAGUUGUCGAGCUCUAACCAACUGAGCUACAGAGAGACAGUUGUCGAACUCUAACCAACUGAGCUACAGAGAGACAGUUGUCGAGCUCUAACCAACUGAGUUACAGAGAGACAGUUGUCGAGCUCUAACCAACUGAGCUACAGAGAGACAGUUGUCGAGCUCUAACCAACUGAGCUACAGAGAGACAGUUGUCGAGCUCUAACCAACUGAGCUACAGGGAGACAGCUGUCGAGCUCUAACCAACUGAGCUACAGAGAGACAGUUGUCGAGCUCUAACCAACUGAGCUACAGAGAGACAGUUGUCGAGCUCUAACCAACUGAGCUACAGAGAGACAGUUGUCGAGCUCUAACCAACUGAGCUACAGAGAGACAGUUGUCAAGCUCUAACCAACUGAGCUACAGAGAGAUAGUUGUCAAGCUCUAACCAACUGAGCUACAGAGAGACAGUUGUCGAGCUCUAACCAACUGAGCUACAGAGAGACAGUUGUCGAGCUCUAACCAACUGAGCUACAGAGAGACAGUUGUCGAGCUCUAACCAACUGAGCUACAGAGAGAGAGUUGUCUAGCUCUAACCAACUGAGCUACAGAGAGAGAGUUGUUGGCCAUCUUAGUUGAUAGAACUAGCAUUUAGUUAUAUCCAUGCUCAAAAUCCUGAAUAUGUUUGUGGAGUGUAAACCACCCCAAUGAUGAAUUAAAUUGAUCAGACAGUAAGUUUCAUUUGACCACAAAUGCUCAACACAGGUAAAACAGGUCACCGAGUUUUUCUUAAUUAAAUUGAUACGAAGAACAACAGUUUUGAUCAUAAUAAAAUAUUAUAAUAAAAUUGAGUAAUAAAAGCGAAGUAAUAUAUGGUUAUGAAAUGCAACAGUUAGAAUGGAUCAGUAAUAAAACAAGGCGACGCACAAAUCAUGAACAAUAAUAGCAAUGGAAAAUAAGAUUAAAUUAGCUUUAAUAAAAUUUCAUUCGCUGUUUUUUUAUUAAUAUUUUAUUGCUUAGUACGACAGGUGCAUGGAACUGUGGGCAGACAUACACUCAGACGUCAAAUGCAUGGGAGACCAAAGUUAUAAAGCAAUUUUUUGUGUGCAAAUCCUAAUACCAUUUUCUUUCAGACUAUUAGAAUAUAGUGGCAAUAAUAGGGAAGCUGGGGGAUUGAUAGGGAUACAAGUAUCUGAAAAAUACAAAGAAAUCUUCGACGUUUCGAGCAAGGCGCUUCUCCUUGAAUCUUUCAGACUAUGUCCAUAUAUAGAAAUAUCUUUCAUAACGAUAUAUAUAAUUGAUAGAAAUCUAACAAGUUCUUUGUAGAUCUAUUUUUUGGCCCAGGCGUAGAUGCAGGUGGAAAGCUUUGCAGUUUCCAGACAAUAAAUCAAUAUAGCGUUCCAUAGUUUUACUAAUAUGGUAUUCUAGCUCUUCGAAAAAAACCCGCGUAUAAUUGUCCAUGGCCCAUGGCCAUGGGAAAUUAAUGCUCUCUUAUAAAUUGGCUGGGAAUACAGCAAUAUAUAGGACGUGACGCAAUUAUCAUGCACCAACCAAGCUGCCAAACCAACCAACCGAUCAAAAUAUUGAAAACGUUGAAGCUUCUUCAGAUGAUAGGGAAAUCUAGAACUAACUUUAUGUAGAGUUCCGUAUCUUAUGCAGUGCAAACGACUUUCAUGCAGAAAUGAAAAUAUGCAUGCUGUUCCCUACAAACACAUUGUACUUUCGCUUAUUCUCAGUACAAGGAAAAGUGGAAAACGUAUGCAUUAUACUUUAUCUCCCAAUUAUUUCUCGAUCAAAUUAAGAAAAUCUAAAACAUUUAUUCCUUAUCUGCAAAACAUUCGUACACGGAAUAACACACAUGCCAUUUUUUUAAAAAAUUGAUUCGCAUCGAGAAAAUUAGGAUCUGUACUUGAAGGUAAACCACAGACAACGCACUCAACUGUCACCUUCAAGAAUAUCUCUACAAAUAUUGCCUCUAAAUGGCACAACAUUCUGGAAUUAUAUAAUCUUUACAUGUAAGGUGAUGUAAACUUUUAAAGGUGUUGCAAUGUUAGAAAUUGCUCUUAUCAGAAACAAAAUCAUCAUUGCAACUGCAAGGUGAGAACUUAUCUGCACGAGGUUGGAAUAAGACAAUUAAAAACUCACUAUAUAGGUGUGUAGGCGUUUGGGCUAUAGGAAUAUGAAAACUCAUGUGCCAUUUCGCUCGGACAUACUUUGUGAAAAUUCCCAAUAUUGAGGGAAUUUCUCCUAUUUAUUUUUAUAAUAAGCUAAUAUUACCCAACUGUGAAGCACAUAUUGCCCGACUGGCCUAGUCUGCCCAACAAUCUGAGGGGGGCUCCCCCCCCCCCGGCCCCGUACGCCUAUGCUUCGCUUGAAACGUCGAAGUUCUCCUUGUAUUUUUGAGGUAGUUGUAUUCCUACCAAUCCGAAGCUUUCUUCUUAUUGCCACGACCUACGGCAGACGAGAACGUAUCAUGGUUUUACUCGGGAAAACGUUUGCCAUGAACAAGAUAUAAAUUAAGCCCAAAAAGUUGUACAACAAUGCCGCAUAUUACAUGCCCUAUGUUGCAUAAAUACUACCGACAUAUCUAAAUCUUGAUGAGCUGGGGAUUUCUACAAGUUUUAAUUAAGUGAAAUUAAAACCACAUUUAACUUUUCAUAAUCCGAAUAGGAAUUGAUUUUGAAACAGUUAUCUUUUAGAACAAUAUAUAUUACCAUACAUAGAACCAUAUGAAGGCCGCGAGUUUAGGCGAGGCCGCAAGUUUAUCAGUUUUACUGUUGCCCUCUUUAAAUAUAGGAGAUUAUUAUUCUGAUUUUCCACUCAAAAGGCAAACAAGACAUCUGUCUAUCUCAGAGCGAUCAAACACUGCAAAGAAUACUGACUAUGCUGCGAAUGUUGAAUGUUAGAGAAAGUUUUAUGAUCCGGAAACCGGCAGCUUUAAUCAGAGAAAAACGCAACAUCACUUUUUAAUUAAUGAAUUACAAUAAACAAGGGAAGAAAUAGGCAAGGUUUUGUAAAAACUUAGCAUUGCAAGACUGGGUUUUGAAUAAUUUCCUCCAUUCAAAUUGCCACUAGACUGUCAGAGACGUUUAGCUUACUCGAUAUCUUCGGUCCAUGAUAGAAAACGAAAAAAAUAAAUGAACUCCAAGAAAUGUUAUUGACAAAGGAAGAAAUUAGGACCUUAUGUCUUCAAUAAAACACAAAAACAAAAUAUCUUUAAGUUAAGAUAAACAAGUAGUUUUCAAAUUAAAACGAUUAUCGACCACCAAGGAUGUUUAUACUGUGUUUUCAUUGGCAUAAUAAACAGAGGAUGACAAUCCUCCCUGAUGUAGAUAGAGAAAGAUAGAAUAUCUCAAUUAAAGGCAUAGUGACCGACUAAUUUCUUUAUAAAAGAACAUCAUUAGAACAAAGUUGUGUAUUGGGCUACAAUCCUCGCAGGAAGUUAGGUGUAGGUCGAAAGCAUAGAGAACAUGCCAUGUCUGGAGAUAUGUCAUAAGAAAAAAAUAUUUUCCAUAUACAGCAAUGUGUAUUGUUGGAGAAUGUCCUCUGGUGUCUACGCCUCUGCAAUGUGGAGGAACGUGUAAAAUUAUAUAUCCACAAAUGCCCCAUGCUGUGCUAUCAUACAAACAGAUUUCUCAAUGUUUAGAAUAACUGUGAGCUAUGGUCCACCUUUUCUCUGCCAGUAAAGAAACAUUACGAUCUGAAGACAAAAUAUUGCACAUUGGAGAAUGCGCUCUGAAUUGUUAACUUUCAGCCUUGUUUUAAGUUGUUUAUUACUGUUCAACACAAGACAGUGCUGAGGCAUUCACCGCUCUACAUUAUUUCUAAGCACAAGUAGCCAACCAUUGAACUGUAAGUAAACUCAACAAAUGCAUAUCUGUGCAUAUACGUUUAAGAAACUCAAUAAUUCACGAGGAAAAGACAAAGGAAUCACUUCUUAGGUUUCAUAUAGACCACGAUACCUUCACUGUACCACGGAAUUAUUGUAGUAUACAUUUCUCAUACGCAAGCAUACGCAAGCUUGGGCGGGAAUAUAUAAGCAAGGCCAGAUGAUAGAGGCGGGGAAGCAGGAUUAUAGGGAGGUUAAUUUAAGGAAGAUUAAAAAGACCCCACAUCCAAUAACAGCACAAGAAAAUGACUUAAUCAGAACGUAAUUUCUUAAUCAGAACUAAGCAGCUUGUGGGAUACUCUCAACACAACGAGAUUAAAAAAUCAUCCUAAAUAUUACAAGGACACAGUUGUUAAGAACAUGUGAAUCAUACUCGGCCAUUCAUCAUAUUGCAAUUCAAUGCGCGCAAGAAUUUCGACCAUUGUACAAAAAAUGUCCCAAGUGCGGGAAAUAUGCAAAUCAUGCGCAAACGAUGUACGCACGUGGUUUGAGGAACAUCAGGCAAUUGUCGAGUUGCUAAGUGGCAACUGUAAUGCUUGAUUGUUGACCAGAAAAUGCAUUCCAAAAGUGAUUGAUAGGGUUAAGUGUAUAAGACCAAGAUAAUACAGCUGACAAUGUAAAGAUUUCCGACAUCUUGAAAGGCAGCAUUGAUACGUCAUGAUAAGUUCGUUGAUGAUCCAUGUUUGUUCAAUUUUUAUAAUUCCUCUGUGACAUCUCAAAGCACGUGGCUACAUAGUUGGCUUUAUUUAACACACGGCGAGGCAUGAUCAGUCCAACAGAUCAUUCACACAGUCAACGUGUUAACAAGAGCUCUUCAAGGUUUUGAAAUCAUUCGAAGACACAUCUUUCAAUAAGAGACACAUCGUUUAAUACGGGACAUAUCUUUCAAUUGCGAAUCAAUUUUCAAGUUUAAAUUGUAAGUACAGAAUAUAUUAUAUUUAUUUUGGUUCAUGAAAUGUAGACUACUCGAUAUCGUCACGACAGGGAAAGCUAUACUAUCAUAGAUACUAUAUAUACAGCCUCAGCAGCCGUGUUGUAUGAGAUAUACAAAUUCAUACCAAGAGAGUGAGAAAAAAGAUUACGCGAAUCAGAAGAAUGUUGUUUUUGUGGACCUCAUUAAUUAAACAUAGAUUUCUUUUGAAUUUUCUUCAUGAAUUAUCAAUGUUUUUACAAUAUUUUUCUAUGCAUGUGCUUUAGUUCACGAAAUCGCAGAGAAUGUUCUAAAGCAAAAAAAAACUUAUAUACUAUAGUCUGUUUCAUCCUAACUGGUCAGGGUGAAACCAUUGCUAGGGACUAUUUGAAAACAAGCCAACGCUAUUUAGUUAUGCAUAUGGCGCGUGGUUUUCCUCUAAAGUACAAGUUCAUAACAGAAUAUACUUUGAAAGACCUUUACAGUACAAAGUCUGUGGCUAAUUUUGCAGUAGUUUACAAUAAGAGUCUCCUUGACAUGUCGACUGCAAGGCAAUGAUACGAUGAUUAUUUCGGGGGAAAAUCAAAAUUAAACAAAAUUGAAAACAAUUAUUUCAUGAAAAGUGUAACAAGAAGCCAGACAGCGUGUCAUUUAAAUAUUCUCGAAGCAUAGAAUUAAAACAUAGUUGCUAUCGUUGCGUGUGGCACGUUUAAUAAAAUCCGCAAUAAAACUAAGCAGAUCAAGCUCCUAUCAAAGUAAUACUUAUAGAUUUUAAGCCUCUUUAAUUUCAUUUAACAUGUCACUACGUGUGCUUUCUACCAAUCACAAUGCGGCAUUAAUUACGCAUUGACACUACAUGACUGUAGCGGUUAACUGUAGACUUCGCAACUGGCUCGCCAUGAUAUGAAUUGAAAAUAAAGAUUUUAUCAGUAAAGUGUUUAUAAUCCUUGCCACAUAGAUCUUUGCGGUUUGUUGAUCGAUAAACACCUCGGGGUUUUUUUUUUCCACAACUGUAUAAGAUACAAAAUAUGCAUAUAGUGCAAAACUUAUUUCUAAUUUGUAACGGUAUAAUAUAUUUUACAAUCACAUUGCAAAUCUGCCCACGCUCGGGAAGAUGACAUUCACAAAUAUUUUUACCGUUUUUUUGCGGUUGAAUCCAAUUAAUAAAUAGAGCAAAACCCUCGCGCACGUCUUAAUACGUUUUAGGUUGAAAAUUUAAUAACUUGCGGUUUUGCUACAAAAUAAAUACGUGCUGCUGUAUGAUCACAACAUGCUGAGAAAAUUGUUGGGCAAUUUUCAAAAUAAAAGUUUAUUAAAGUGUUAUAAGGUAUACAGUUAUAGCGAAGUAUUUGAGCCUUGAGCAUACUGAGCGAUAUUAAAUGGCAUUUUAUUGCACGAAAUCAAUCUUACUUAUAAACGACUCAGCACGAGAACAGUAGGGUAGUUAGCUAAACUGGCUGUUGAUUGGUUCCCUCUGUUAUUUAAUUAGAAUCGUGAGUUGUGAAACAACGGCUAAUUUGAUGAAAAGCGUGUAUUUAAUAUAAACAACGUAAUGAAGCUCCGAGUAGGAUGUCUUUGUGUGAAAACUAUUCGAGGCUCUUAUCAUAAUGUCUUAAAUGAAAGAAUGUGUUAGACUGACGUUUAUAUACGCUUUAUUUCUAGAAAGUGAAAGGAGUCUUUCACAGAAAACAAGAGAAUAUCGAGAUAUAUUGACUGGAGACAAGAAAAACUUCUUCAUGGCUAAAGUUAUACUCAUAUUGACAAUGUUAUUGCUAUCUCUUAUGCUGUGCUUCCAUAUAGCAGAGAGUUUCGCGCCUUUUCCAGGAAAGUGUGGAGGUUGGGGCUGUCGAAGUGCAAAGAGGACACAUGUACACAGUAUUGUUGGAUCACACAGUAUCUGUGGAAGCAAUGCUCAAUGCUUGAGGACGAUGAAGAAACUCAUUACAUCAAGCAAGUAUCGGCAGUUGAAGAGGUACACUCGAAAGAGAAAAGUUAUUCGUGGUCGAAGAUACCGAGCUUGAACAAUCAACUCACAUCACGCAACACCUCAAUGGCGAAAUGGGAUGGAAAAACACCAUACUUACUUCCCCAAAAACAUUCUCAACUAAACAAAUAAGACUCAUAUCUCGGAGUAUGAACUUUAACAAAAUCCUCCGACUAAAAAGGAACUAAAAAGCGAGAGGAAAAGCUGUCCCAACGCGUGACACAAUUAUAGUGUGACACUGUGACUGGAACUUGUUGAGAACAUUUCGUGAUAUGAUUAAUGACAUUUUAAAUCCAGCUCAAGGAAGAAAUCUUUUGGGAAACCCGGCAAAGGAACGUGGAAAAUGUAUCAUAUAUAGUUGACUUAAUAUUUCGUCUUUUUCUUCGGAAUGAAAGAUGAAAAGUGCAUGGGAAUUGGAAAGUGUGCAACAGGCUAUAUGUUUUAGCUAUAGACACGAGCUACAGUUCUGUCCACAGUUCAUUAAGUUUCCUAUUGUGCGGCGCGCAUCUGAGAAGGAAAAGCUUCGAGAGUGCAAAAUAUCGAUUUUACAGAUGCCUUGGCAAACCAUCUGUUUACGACGUGAGUUCAAAAAUGUCAACAAUGCCAUCAGAAUGAACUAGUCAGUAUUCUUGUUAUCAUGAAGCAAUUCAAAAUUGUCAUUCUCAAGAACAUUUUAUGUGACUAGAACAAACUGAAAAGUAGCGUAUGGUAAUAAUUAUAGAUAUUGACGUAUUUAAAUUACUCCGAACUUGACCUGUAUAUAACGCAGGGCGACCACCCAACUGAAUUGUAGAUGUAUAUAUAUAUUAUUGUAUUUAAAAUAUUCUUCAUGCAUACGCUGUCAAUA